rnacentral:rRNA from 1 species
UCGAGAAUUUUUCUCAAUGGGGGAAACCCUGAAGGAGCGACGCCGCGUGGGGGAUGAAUGGCUUCGGCCCGUAAACCCCUGUCAUUUGCGAUCAAACCUUGCGAUCUAACAAAUCGUAAGCUGAUAGUAGCGAAAGAGGAAGGGACGGCUAACUCUGUGCCAGCAGCCGCGGUAAUACAGAGGUCCCAAGCGUUGUUCGGAUUCACUGGGCGUAAAGGGUGCGUAGGCGGUCGGGUAAGUCUAACGUGAAAUCUCCGAGCCUAACUCGGAAACUGCGUCGGAUACUAUUCGGCUAGAGGAAUGGAGGGGAGACUGGAAUUCUCGGUGUAGCAGUGAAAUGCGUAGAUAUCGAGAGGAACACCAGUGGCGAAGGCGAGUCUCUGGACAUUUCCUGACGCUGAGGCACGAAAGCCAGGGGAGCAAACG